AAGCCGUUUUCUUGAACCCCUUCGCUCUUGGAUCCAUCGCCUCCUCCAAUCUCUUCGUCUUCUCCGUAUCAAGAUCCCAAUUAUUGAGGAGCAGGAUCCUUCCGGAAGUGGUCUUGAGCCCCCAUCGUGUCUGAUGGAACAGGACCAAGGCAAGACGGUAUGGUCCGACGGAAGACCGGCGAGUCCAUCUCAUCCCCGCCUCCUCUCAGAUCCCCGCCCUCGUCUUUCGAGAUGCUUCCAAAGGUGGUAGCGCACCGCGAUCGAGGCUGCUGGAGCACGACGACGAUGGGCCGGUGAUGGAUGGCUGGGAAACCGGCGACUCCUCGUUAUCUCCACCUCAUCUCAGAUUCUUUCAGUGGCGGUAGCGCACCCCGAUGACGAACGUUGGAACUCGAGGACGACGACCAGCUUGGACGACGGCCCAGAAGAAAAGUGGGUGAUCAUCUUCUCCUUGAUCUCUUUCCAGGUCUGUCACAAUCCCCUUGACCGAUUUGUUCUGUUCCUCCAUUCUUCUCGUUGUUCCUAGAAUCAUUAGAUCUUAAAGAACAUAAUAAUUUCUCCCUUACUUUUGGGGCAGAUCUCUUGUAGAAUGUUUACUUUUACGUGAUAUUGUGAAAUUAUGGGAACGAAGGUUGGUUGUGUAUGAAUGGGAAGUCUGGGAGUGGUCAUCGCCUCUGGUUGUUCAUCAACUAACAAUGAUGAAUCUUUGACUUGGGGAUUUUAUGAGAUUACGUAUAUGGGUCAUCUUUAGUCUUUGAUAACCCUUGAGGUGCUCUAGGUUGUUGGGUAGUGGAAAAGUGGUAGGACUUGCAAGAAUAAAGAAAGAUCUAGUGGUGCAUUAUUCGAUUUACAGCACCAUCUUUAACUUUUCUGGUAUCUUGAGUAUAACACAAGUCAUUGAAAAAUGGUAAUCAAACUAUUCUGCUUUAUUGUUUGUGCUGCCCUCUUUCUAAAACUCUAAAAGUUAUUCGUAAUUUUAAAGAAAGAAACCGAUGUGCGGAUUGAUUACCUGAUUUUGCUCGAUCAACUAAAGAAUUUUUUGUUGAGGGGCCACUGGCUCUUCAACAAAAAUUGCUCUGAUUUUGAAGGAAAAAAUAGUCUAUUCCAUUAUGUCGAGUUCCACUGAUUUUGGAUGUGCUGAAAUGCCGCGUGGUAAUAAAAAAUGUUCAAACGAGGAAACCUCUGGCACUUCUUUUGCCUCCUAUAAAUGGAUGAUGCUCUGCUGGAAACUAAGUCAGACACAGUGAAGGAAUUUUAUUUAAUCUAGCUUUUUUGUGCAAGCAAAUCUUUCUUUCCAUAUUCUUACUGCUUGUUUCCUUGAGAUUUAAUUAUGUUGUAGUUUUAUGUUCGACUUCUUUAAGGUGCUUACUACUGCUACGCUACUCUUUAGCAUGUAUCUUAAUACCUUGAUGUAUAUAAAGACUGUUAUGAAAUCUUUGUGCAUUGUGCUUA